rnacentral:rRNA from 1 species
GACGAACGCUGGCGGCGUGCUUAACACAUGCAAGUCGAACGGUAAGGCUCCAGCUUGCUGGGGUACACGAGUGGCGAACGGGUGAGUAACACGUGGGUGACCUGCCCUGCACUUCGGGAUAAGCCUGGGAAACUGGGUCUAAUACCGGAUAGGACCGCACCGUGAGGGUGUGGUGGAAAGUUUUUUCGGUGUGGGAUGGGCCCGCGGCCUAUCAGCUUGUUGGUGGGGUAAUGGCCUACCAAGGCGGCGACGGGUAGCCGGCCUGAGAGGGUGGACGGCCACAUUGGGACUGAGACACGGCCCAGACUCCUACGGGAGGCAGCAGUGGGGAAUAUUGCACAAUGGGCGGAAGCCUGAUGCAGCGACGCCGCGUGGGGGAUGACGGCCUUCGGGUUGUAAACUCCUUUCACCAUCGACGAAGGGUUUCUGACGGUAGAUGGAGAAGAAGCACCGGCUAACUACGUGCCAGCAGCCGCGGUAAUACGUAGGGUGCGAGCGUUGUCCGGAAUUACUGGGCGUAAAGAGCUCGUAGGUGGUUUGUCGCGUCGUCUGUGAAAUUCCGGGGCUUAACUCCGGGCGUGCAGGCGAUACGGGCAUAACUUGAGUACUGUAGGGGAGACUGGAAUUCCUGGUGUAGCGGUGAAAUGCGCAGAUAUCAGGAGGAACACCGGUGGCGAAGGCGGGUCUCUGGGCAGUAACUGACGCUGAGGAGCGAAAGCAUGGGGAGCGAACAGGAUUAGAUACCCUGGUAGUCCAUGCCGUAAACGGUGGGCGCUAGGUGUGGGUUUCCUUCCACGGGAUCCGUGCCGUAGCUAACGCAUUAAGCGCCCCGCCUGGGGAGUACGGCCGCAAGGCUAAAACUCAAAGGAAUUGACGGGGGCCCGCACAAGCGGCGGAGCAUGUGGAUUAAUUCGAUGCAACGCGAAGAACCUUACCUGGGCUUGACAUAUACAGGAUCGCGCCAGGGAUGGUGUUUCCCUUGUGGCUUGUAUACAGGUGGUGCAUGGUUGUCGUCAGCUCGUGUCGUGAGAUGUUGGGUUAAGUCCCGCAACGAGCGCAACCCUUGUCUUAUGUUGCCAGCACGUUGUGGUGGGGACUCGUAAGAAACUGCCGGGGUUAACUCGGAGGAAGGUGGGGAUGACGUCAAAUCAUCAUGCCCCUUAUGUCCAGGGCUUCACACAUGCUACAAUGGUCGGUACAGUGGGUUGCCAGUCCGUGAGGGCGAGCUAAUCCCGCAAAGCCGGUCUCAGUUCGGAUCGGGGUCUGCAACUCGACCCCGUGAAGUCGGAGUCGCUAGUAAUCGCAGAUCAGCAACGCUGCGGUGAAUACGUUCCCGGGCCU